rnacentral:rRNA from 1 species
GACGAACGCUGGCGGCGUGCUUAACACAUGCAAGUCGAGCGAUGAAGCACCUUCGGGUGUGAAUUAGCGGCGAACGGGUGAGGAACACGUGAGAAAUCUGCCUUCAACACUGGGAUAACUCCGGGAAACCGGGGCUAAUACCGGAUAUGAAACCUGCGGGCAUCCGCGGGUUUGGAAAGUUUUUCGGUUGAAGAUGAUCUCGCGGCCUAUCCGCUUGUUGGUGGGGUAAUGGCUCACCAAGGCGACGACGGGUAGCCGGCCUGAGAGGGCGACCGGCCACACUGGGACUGAGACACGGCCCAGACUCCUACGGGAGGCAGCAGUGGGGAAUAUUGGGCAAUGGAGGAAACUCUGACCCAGCGACGCCGCGUGCGGGAUGAAGGCCUUCGGGUUGUAAACCGCUUUCAGCAGGGAAGAAGCGAAAGUGACGGUACCUGCAGAAGAAGCACCGGCUAACUAUGUGCCAGCAGCCGCCGUAA